rnacentral:lncRNA from 10 species
UGCACCCUUCUGCUCCCGCCCCUGGGGGAUCGCUGCCCCCGUGCACAAGCAGCUGCUUCCCCUGGGGCUGACCGCUGUCCUGGCGUGAAUCUGCCCUGCCCUCCCGCCAGAGCAACCAUGUACCCAGGGAUUGAGUAGGGAUGUGAGCCUCCUCCCGUGUGUGCUACAGCUGCACUGCCACUGUCACUAAGAUGCCCACCUGGAAGGGAAACAGGGGCAGGCAUCACUCACCC